rnacentral:rRNA from 1 species
GACGAACGCUGGCGGCGUGCUUAACACAUGCAAGUCGAGCGGAGCGGCGAACGGGUGAGUAACGCGUGAGUAACUGCCCCCCUCUCUGGGUGAACAGUUGGAAACGGCUGCUAAUACCGGAUAGUGGGGGAUGACUCGCGUCCUAUCAGUUUGUUGGUGGGGGAGUGGCCUACCAAGGCGACGACGGGUAGCCGGCCUGAGAGGGCGACCGGCCACAAUGGGCUGAGAUAGGGCCCAGACUCCUACGGGAGGCAACGGUGGGGAAUAUUGCACAGUGGGGGAAACCCUGAUGAAGCAGCGCCGGGUGCGGGAUGACGGCCUUCGGGUUGUAAACCGCUUUCAGCCAUAACGCGGUAGUGGCAGAAGAAGCACCGGCUAACUACGUGCCAGCAGCCGCGGUAAUAC